rnacentral:rRNA from 1 species
AUUGAACGCUGGCGGCAGGCCUAACACAUGCAAGUCGAGCGGAGCGGCGGACGGGUGAGUAAUGUCUGGGAAACUGCCUGAUGGAGGGGGAUAAAGUUCGGAAACGGACGCUAAUAACCCCUACUAUCAGAUGAGCCUAGGUCGGAUUAGCUAGUUAGUGAGGUAAUGGCUCACCAAGGCUACGAUCCGUAACGGGUCUGAGAGGAUGAUACGCCAAACGGGAACUGAGACACGGCCCAGACGCCUACGGGAGGCAGCAGUGGGGAAUAUUGGACAAGGGGCGAAAGCCUGAUCCAUCCAUGCCGCGUGUGUGAAGAAGGUCUUCGGUUUGUAAAGCACUUUAAGUUGGUAGGCGUUACCGACAGAAUAAGCACCGGCUAACUCUGUGCCAGCAGCCGCGGUAAUAC